rnacentral:misc_RNA from 1 species
CAAAAUCUUUCCGCAAACUGUAUCUGCACUGUGCCAAAAUUGGAGCACAAAUGAUCAUUGAUAAGAUUAAACUUCAUUCAGUCGCCUAGAACCCUUUUCUGCAAGCUUAUGCGUUCCUAGAGUCACCAUAAAAGACUUAAUCUUUAUAGGAAUCAUGAUGUGUUGACCUCUUAAAUGACAGGGAUUGGAAGAGACUGUCAGUCACAACCUGCAGUAGCUCCAGUUGGCGCAUUGUCAUUCCCAUUGGCUGACUUCAGAGCUCCCUUAUCAGUAACUUCUGAGGCUUCGCCACUAUUUUGCACCAAAGCAGGCUGUUCAAAAUGCUCAUUUGUCACUUGGCACUGACAAGAUGUCUGAUUCAAUAAGCUAUUGGCACCACAGUUUUGCAUUGCUUGCAAGUUGAUGUUUUGAAUUGAAUCCUUUGAACCACAGACUGGGGCUGAAUCCAAAUUAUCCAGGGGACCUGCCACCCCACUAGCAUUCAGUCCCAUGGUAGUUUUUAGAAGAGGUCCUCCAGACAUGGGCAGUAAGGGUGCACAUGGAUAUGGCAUUGGAUGUCCUUGAGUAGCAAGCCCAAAUAUUGGAAGGUUAGAUCCUC